rnacentral:tRNA from 1 species
GGCGUUAGCUCAGUUGGUAGAGCAGUUGACUUUUAAUCAAUUGGUCGCAGGUUCGAAUCCUGCACGACCCACCA